GAACGUCACUUUCAUGCGGCUCCUCCCCCGUCACGUGAGCAGCUGGCAACUGAGCGAAGGACGAGAGUGAGUGUCGAAGAGAUGUCCGUCCUCGGGUGGAGGCAGUGGCGAGGGGGAAGUAAAGAGGGAAUAAUUUCUGUUUUGUACAGCACAUCAACCUGACCAAAUGAGCAGCUGGGCAUUUUGGGGAGUGCUGUAUUGGUUUAGUGUCAUCUUUGGAGUGCCUGCCGUCAGCUGUCAUGAAGAGGCAGUUUUCCAUUCAGAUGAUUGGAAAGCACCCAAUAUCACAGCUGUUCUUCCAUGGGAUCAAUCCACAGUUAUCGUGGGAAAGGAUUCCAGUGCAAGACAAGCAUCUGGGAAGAGUGAAAGUCAUUUGGCACUUGGAUUCAUUGCCUGUGCUGUUGCAGUUGUGUUCUUUGGAAGUAAUUUUGUUCCUGUGAAGAAAUUUGAUACCGGUGAUGGGAUGUUUUUCCAGUGGAUUCUUUGUGCAGCAAUAUGGAUUGUAUCUCUGGUUGUGAAUUUAAUAUUGAAGUGCCCAGAGUUUUGGCCCCUUGCUAUGAUAGGUGGCUUUUUAUGGGCUACUGGAAAUAUUACUGUUGUUCCAAUUGUAAAAACCAUUGGCUUAGGCCUUGGUGUUCUAAUCUGGGCUGCAUUUAAUCUCCUGAUGGGCUGGGCAAGUUCAAGAUUUGGUUGGUUUGGCAUCGACCCUGAAGAAGUGGCAAAACCUUGGUUAAACUAUCUUGGAGCAGCUCUAUCUUUCUUAAGUGCCAUCAUAUUUUUCUUUGUCAAGAGUGAUGUAAAUACUAGAAAUCAUUCUGAAUCAUCACUUCCAUUACUAAUUGAUAGUAAUAUAAAUACUAGUGAAGAAAUUAUCUUGACAGAUGAAUCCUGGGUAGACAAGCUUAGUCCACUAAAGAAAAGACUUGUAGGCUCGUUCCUUGCAGUGACGGCAGGGUUAUUGUAUGGUUCUAGCUUUGUGCCUGUAAUUUAUAUCAAGAACCAAGCUCUGAAGAACGAAACAGAAUAUAAAAAUGCAAGCCAGUUCGAUCUAGACUAUGUUUUUGCACACUUUAGUGGCAUAUUUCUCACAAGUACAGUCUACUUUCUGACCUAUUGUGCAAUAAUGAAGAACAGACCAAAGGUUUACCCAAAAGCAGUGCUGCCAGGCUUUGUUUCAGGUGUGAUGUGGGCUAUUGCAAACUGCUGCUGGUUCCUGGCCAAUGACUUCCUCAGUGCAGUCGUUAGUUUUCCAAUAAUCACCGCUAGGCAAAGAAGUUUACAUCCUGAAGCUCACCCAUUUCCCAGCAAAUCCUCCUGUGAAGAAGCAGGAUUCCUUAAUAUGACAGACAAAGUUUCUGAUCCAAACAUAGCCAAUGGAAUCAAAAACUGACAACGAUGGAGAAUCUCAGCAGGUCCAACAUCAUCUGUGGAGGAUUGAGAAGAGUCAUACCACACUUAAAGCAUUAAUUCUGUUUCUCUCUACAAAUGCUGCCACUUCUGAUGAGUUUUGUUUGUUUCAGAUUUCCAUCAUCUGCAGUAUUUUCCUUUUAUAAGAGCAAUGAAAUAACUGACAAAGGUUCUUGUGAAUAUUAUGAUUUAUGAUAAGGAGAAUUUCAGAAGACUGUGGGUUUUAAGGCUCUUUGGUUGGAGAGCUGUCUAGAAUGAUAAGAAAUUUGACUUUGGUAUGGCCUAAUGCUUAUACUUGUAUAAAUAUUUGAAUAAUUUUCAAAACAAAUUUGAUUAAUAAUAUUUUGGUAACUUAGUGGUUAUUAACCAAUAUCAUGAAACUGUUUUGUUUCUGUGCAUAUUUUAUGCAUUUUGUGUAUUCAUAUUUGUAGAUAUUAUAAGCUAAUACUUCAAGAAGAUUUUAGAACAAUGUAAAAAUAAUUUAAUACUGUACAUUGUAAUUAAGGACCUUCAUACUGAGCCCAGCUGGAGCAAAGGUACUUUUUCCAGUCCUGGACAUUUAUUAGAACUGAAACUGGAUACAAUAGUUCAAUUAAUUUGAAUAUUCAUUGGAAGUUAUCAAAAAUGAUUGUUUUGCUUUGCAGCGUCAAAACAUGUGGUGCUGGAAAAGCGCAGCUUUACAGAUGUGUCCACUGAAGUAAUUCUUUCAGCUCUGAGUUUAGUUGCCAACACUGAAAGGCAACUGAUCUUUUGUUACAUAACACUAAAUUGCUUACUAUAUCUAAAGGGAUUUAAAUUAUAAUGUUGGGGAAAAGGAGUCUUGUGAUUUACUAAUGCCAUUUUCAAGAGUUGUGUACUAUUGCAAAUGUAGUUUCAUUUUCUUGACAAAAAGACUGCUUUGUCAAUGAAAAUCAUAUACCACUGUAUAAAUACGGCUUUUUUCUUCAGAUACCUGGUUUCAUUGCUGCUUUAUGGGGAGUACUUGUAUUCAAAGAAAUAAAAGGAUUGCGGAACUAUAUUAUU